UUGACUUUCCUGGUUUUGGUACUAAUCCUGAGAGAUUGCUCUUUUAUCUUUUUGGUUAAUUUAGAUCAAAUUUCCGAGAAGAUUAAGUACUACAUGAAGGAAAAUGCAAAACAUGCAGAAAAAAUGUCCAUUUGUGAAUAGAAGGUUCACCUCUCCCUUUACGAAGUUCAUACCAGCAAAGUGAAAUUGAAGUGUGAAGAACAGGAAGUGAAAUCGAAGUCUGAAGAAACAGGCUGCACAGAAAGAAAAUGCUCAGGUUAAGAUCCACAGAAUCAGUUUAUGCAAGUCAGAAUCAACCUCCAUCCACCUCCAUCCUUUAUGAGACC